AGAAAUCAAGAAUUGUUUUUAGAAUAAAAACCGUGUGCUGAGGUUGUUUGCAGGUUUUCCAUGAAGUAACAUCAGCACCACCUCAGAAUGAGAACGCCACCUACAGCUUGUUGGGAUUUCCUGCUGGAUCGACUCAGCUGGAGAGCAUCUACGCUACGGCGAAGAAGCCUGGCAGGUCCUCCAACGAUUAAACAGGAAUGUUUUCCCAAAUCCCGGAAUUCUGCCUGAAGUUUGCAGUGUUAUUGGAGCUUUCUAUGUAUUAGUUCAUGUGACCUGCUUUAAUGCCGAAAGAUUUUCCUCUACACAAAUGUGUCAUUGGAGAGAGAUUAAAAUUAUUAAAUGUUACUAAACAUCACACACAUUAAAAAGUACCUUUUUUAGCAUCACAAUUGGAGAUAUUAGUAAUUACAUAUUUUACAUUUA